rnacentral:lncRNA from 1 species
UUUGUCAAGGGAAGAUGUCAAAUCUCAUUCUCUGAAAGUCUUUAAAAAUAAAACAUAUUUCAGGAAUAUGGACAAAUUUUUGGAUUAGCAAAUUCAAACAUAAAUAUAGAAUAUAAUAGUCAAUGUUCCCUUAUUGUCGAGGCUUUGUUGAAUACAAAAAAGUCAUAUUUGUGGUAAAAAAAAUUGUAGUAAAAUCAUGAAGUCAUAAUACUUCCUCAGUUAGUAAUUCCUUCUUUUGGAAUUUGUCUAAGUAAUCAGAACUUGAACAACCAUUUAUGUAAAAGGUUCUUUAUCAAUGGCAAACUAAACUUGACUAUUGAACCAUAGAAACACGAGUAAUCAUAUUUUGGUCUCUCCAUAUGAGAGAAAAAUGCAGCGAUUUAAAUUAAUAUUUUAAAAAAUAUUGAACAGGAAGAUCCUCAUCAAAUAAUCAAGCUUCUCUCAUAUAAUGUUAAGAGAAAAAAGCAAGAUAUAAUAAAGCUGAUUUUGAAAAUGAUAAAAACGUACAUAUAAAAAAACAUCGAAAUGUAACAAUGGUCAUAUCUAAAGUAUUGAAUUAGAGGUGAUUUUUAAUGUUUUUCUUGAUAAUUUUCUGUAUAGUUCAAAAUCUUUUCAAUGAGCUUAUGUGACUUUUAUAAUUUGGAAUAAAAAUUUUAAAGAAAUAUAACAAAAAAAAUUCUGAGAUUGUGUUAAGGAGUGGUUCUGUUUAAGAACAGGCGAUGGGCUAAACGAACCUUUAAUGUUCCUUCAAUUCUAAGGACCAUCUGUCCAGUCCUAUUAACCAGUAACCAGUGAAAGAAGUUAGAUCCAAUUAGUAAGGGCACAAAGAAACAGUGCCUUUGUGAGUUCUAUCCGUAUCCCUGUGCAUAUCUGCCACCUUAAACUAAUGGAGCUAUUUAUUGAGUUCAAGCCGUCCCCAAGGAAGGCUGCUUUCUUCUUUGCUUCUAUGCAAGUGCUGUUCACUUUUUACAACUGGCAACCGACUCAAAGCCAGCAGCUGGCUAUCCACGCAAUUACAGAGAACAAUAGCCACAGCCUGGGCUUCUCAAGAGGGGCCCUGCUCUGGUAUUUUGAAAAUGCCUGCAUAAAAAGCACACACCACUAUCAGCUUCUGCUCAUGUGAUAAGUACAGAAAAUAUGAAGGCAGGACAUGUGAGGGCCACAUCUACUUGAGUGACCUGGGGAGACUCGAUUGAACUUUGGUUUAUUGAUCUUUGAGAUAGGAAUCAGAUUGGCUUUCUCUGAUGAGGUAGUUUCUUUUCCUGUAAAGUAUGUAAGAAAGAAGAUUGUAAGCUACAGUUUUAAAAGAGUUGUUAGGUAGUCCUGUCCACGUUUUUCACAUGCCUUCUUUUUUCUUUUCAAGCACAUGGUGAUGCUAAGGAGACAGUAAAAUAGCAUCCGUCGUCUUGCCUGGCUGGGAACUUCAGGCUGCUUGGUCAUGUGAUCUCAAAAUGGAGUGCGACUCAAUAGCCCAUCGCUAUUUAUUAUCACCACUUCAAGUGAACCCAUAUGCCAGUGGCAUAUUGAGCUGACAAGCUGUGAUGUCAUUGGCAGGAGCAGCACUUCCAGAAGGCAGAGUUGCCGAGGAUUGUUCAUAGCGUUAUUCUAUCAACAUAUUGGAUGCUGCUGGUCAGUAGUGGCAGUGCACUUCUUUUUUUAUUAUUACUCAAGGAAUUUAUUACAUUUAUAGUUGUACAAUGAUCAUCACAAUCCAAUUUUAUAGGCUUUCCAUCCCACACCCCCAGCACAUCCCCCGACCCCCUAAACUGUCUCCUUUGGAAACCAUAAGUAUUUCAAACUCUGUGAGUCAGUAUCUGUUCUGCAAAGACGUUCAUUCUGUCCUUUUUUCAGAUUCCACAUGUCAGUGAAAGCAUAUAGUGUUGGUGUCUUAUUGUCUGACCAUCUUCACUUAGCAUGAUAAUUUCUAGGUCCAUCCAAGUUGCUAAAAAUGCGGGUAUUUCAUUCCUUUAAAUGGCUGAGUAAUAUUCCAUUGUGUAUAUGUACCACCUCUUCUUGAUCCACUCCUCUGUCGAUGGACAUUUAGGUUGUUUCCAUGUCUUGGCUAUUGCACAUAGUCUCCCUUAUUUCUUUUGCCUUCCAAAACUUUAUUAAUUUUGUAUUUAAUAGACAUUUUGCUAUUUCUUAUCAAAAUGGAAAAAUACCUAGGUGUGAGCCUAUCCUGCUAUGUUUCUUUAGCUCUUUUAUUACUAAAUUUAUAAAGCAGUAUUCCUACCUUUUUGAGAAUGGAGAAAAACUAUUGAUGUUUGUUACACAAGAGUGUACUGUUCUGAUUCUUUCCACUUUAUUGAUUAAAUGUUCUCCAUGAGAUCAUUCUAUGAUUUUUUUUCCCCUAAAGCCUGGUAUGCAAAGAGGUAAUCAGACACUAU